AUGGAACCGAAGUUGCAAGUUAGUGAGAGGAUGAAGAUGGUGAAGGUUCAUGGAGAGAGAGCAGAGACUUUUCUUGUGGUGACUCUCCAGAGAAAAAAUAAUCGAUAUCUGGGACUUAUGGACAUGAUUUCCUUAUGCUUCUAUAUGAACCUGAACUGGCAGUUUGGGAGCCCAUCAUGGAUUCUGCUUCCUGCCUGA